GAUGAAGAACGUAGCGAAAUGCGAUACUUGGUGUGAAUUGCAGAAUCCCGUGAACCAUCGAGUCUUUGAACGCAAGUUGCGCCCGAAGCCAUUAGGCCGAGGGCACGCCUGCCUGGGCGUCACACGUCGUUGCCCCCCCAUCUACUCCUUCGGGAUUGCGGGGGGCGGAUGAUGGCCUCCCGUGCGCCUCGUCGCGCGGUUGGCAUAAAUACCAAGUCCUCGGCGACGCACGCCACGACAAUCGGUGGUUGCGAAACCUCGGUUGCCCGUCGUGUGCGGUCGUCGCGCAUCGAGGACUCGAAAAAAUUGCCGGGCUCCGGCUCGGCUUUCAACGCGACCCCAGGUCAGGCGGGGUUACCCGCUGAAUUUAAGCAUAUCAAUAAGCGGAGGA
rnacentral:misc_RNA from 1 species